ACCCUAACCUCAACCACAUUUCUAACCUUAUGCCAAACCUUGGCCUUAAAUUAAGACCAAAAAGCUAAUUUUAGUUUUCAUACAUUUUCCCCCAAUAUAGCCUAUUUUGACUUUGUUGCUGUGGUAAGUAGUGGAAACCGACACCAUGUCCCGGGCUGGUAAGUGAUGCCACUUGAAUGCGGGAAACAUGACCUAAUUUCUGUUUUUAGAGAUACCAAUACCAAGCGCGUAAGCUAUAUAAAAGAUGAUGGAUCUCAGCCUCACUCAGAACAGAAUUGACACUGACCACUUUGGAAGUUGAGCCACUGGACUACUCACCACACAGAUGGACUAGAUAUGGGACUGAAUAGCGUUGAAAAGCUGGAGAUGCCUGUAAAGGAGAAGAACACAUGAUCAAGAGCAGUUGCUUCUCGAGGUUACUGGUAAGAGGUGUGAGGGGAAGGGGGCAGGCGAGCACCUGUCAGGAGCGUUUUCAAAGAGUCUGUACGAGGCAGCCGUCAACCAGGAGAAACAGGAUGCCCAGAGGUCACACAAAGACUUCAUCCCAGAGGAGAAUGAGAACAACACUCAGGAGGAGAUCACAGUUGUCAAUCUCAAUACAGACAAAUCAGGCCGGGUGAAGAUAGAGACCGUGGAUGACCUUUUCAACAUCGCGAAACUGAGGAAGAGGAGGAGGGAGAGGAAGGUGCAGAACAAGAAAGAACCUGAGCCAGAGAUCAUUUGGAUGAAGACACGUUCCUGAAAGCAGCAAUGGAGAAUAAGUUGCUUGUGAUUGAGAAUUACCUGU